rnacentral:rRNA from 1 species
AGCGAACGCUGGCGGCAGGCCUUACACAUGCAAGUCGAACGGUAACAGGUCUUCGGAUGCUGACGAGUGGCGAACGGGUGAGUAAUACAUCGGAACGUGCCUAGUAGUGGGGGAUAACUACUCGAAAGAGUGGCUAAUACCGCAUGAGAUCUACGGAUGAAAGCAGGGGAUCGCAAGACCUUGUGCUACUAGAGCGGCCGAUGGCAGAUUAGGUAGUUGGUGGGAUAAAAGCUUACCAAGCCGACGAUCUGUAGCUGGUCUGAGAGGACGAUCAGCCACACUGGGACUGAGACACAGCCCAGACUCCUACGGGAGGCAGCAGUGGGGAAUUUUGGACAAUGGGCGCAAGCCUGAUCCAGCAAUGCCGCGUGCAGGAUGAAGGCCUUCGGGUUGUAAACUGCUUUUGUACGGAACGAAAAGCCCUGGGUUAAUACCCUGGGGUCAUGACGGUACCGUAAGAAUAAGCACCGGCUAACUACGUGCCAGCCGCCGCCGUAAAAC